rnacentral:rRNA from 1 species
UGCCAGCAGCCGCGGUAAUACGUAGGUGGCAAGCGUUGUCCGGAUUUAUUGGGCGUAAAGCGAGCGCAGGCGGUUUUUUAAGUCUGAUGUGAAAGCGUUCGGCUCAACCGAAGAAGUGCAUCGGAAACUGGAAAACUUGAGUGCAGAAGAGGACAGUGGAACUCCAUGUGUAGCGGUGAAAUGCGUAGAUAUAUGGAAGAACACCAGUGGCGAAGGCGGCUGUCUGGUCUGUAACUGACGCUGAGGCUCGAAAGUAUGGGUAGCAAACAGGAUUAGAUACCCUGGUAGUCCAUACCGUAAACGAUGAAUGCUAAGUGUUGGAGGGUUUCCGCCCUUCAGUGCUGCAGCUAACGCAUUAAGCAUUCCGCCUGGGGAGUACGGCCGCAAGGCUGAAACUCAAAGGAAUUGACGGGGGCCCGCACAAGCGGUGGAGCAUGUGGUUUAAUUCGAAGCUACGCGAAGAACCUUACCAGGUCUUGACAUACUAUGCAAAUCUAAGAGAUUAGACGUUCCCUUCGGGGACAUGGAUACAGGUGGUGCAUGGUUGUCGUCAGCUCGUGUCGUGAGAUGUUGGGUUAAGUCCCGCAACGAGCGCAACCCUUAUUAUCAGUUGCCAGCAUUAAGUUGGGCACUCUGGUGAGACUGCCGGUGACAAACCGGAGGAAGGUGGGGAUGACGUCAAAUCAUCAUGCCCCUUAUGACCUGGGCUACACACGUGCUACAAUGGAUGGUACAACGAGUUGCGAACUCGCGAGAGUAAGCUAAUCUCUUAAAGCCAUUCUCAGUUCGGAUUGUAGGCUGCAACUCGCCUACAUGAAGUCGGAAUCGCUAGUAAUCGCGGAUCAGCAUGCCGCGGUGAAUACGUUCCCGGGCCUUGUACACACCGCCCGUCACACCAUGAGAGUUUGUAACACCCAAAGUCGGUGGGGUAACCUUUUAGGAACCAGCCGCCUAAUGUGAUCAGUGUUCGAA